AGUAGAAGAUAGAACCUCGCCCUACGAAUGACGAAGCCGUGUUCAUCGUGUACAACGAAAAAUAUACCUUGUGUAGAAAGAGAUACACAAUGACAAGCAGAGAUAAUAUUAGGACCCAUCAAUAUGCGACACGAUGCACUUCGCCACCUCUACUCAUCAUAAACACCGAAGGAGCCAAGGCAGCAGCGCGAAGGGCUCGCAAUACAGCAGCAUCGCAGGCUCGCCGCCAUCACUCCGCGGUGAGAGCUCGCGAGGCCGAAGAGAGACGACAACGCCAACAGCAAGCACAAACUACUACCAGCA